rnacentral:rRNA from 1 species
GACGAACGCUGGCGGCGUGCUUAACACAUGCAAGUCGAACGGAAAGGCCCUGCUUUUGUGGGGUGCUCGAGUGGCGAACGGGUGAGUAACACGUGAGUAACCUGCCCUUGACUUUGGGAUAACUUCAGGAAACUGGGGCGAAUACCGGAUAGGAGCUCCUGCUGCAUGGGGGGGGUUGGAAAGUUUCGGCGGUUGGGGAUGGACUCGCGGCUGAUCAGCUUGUUGGUGGGGUAGUGGCUUACCAAGGCUUUGACGGGUAGCCGGCCUGAGAGGGUGACCGGCCACAUUGGGACUGAGAUACGGCCCAGACUCCUACGGGAGGCAGCAGUGGGGAAUAUUGCACAAUGGGCGGAAGCCUGAUGCAGCAACGCCGCGUGCGGGAUGACGGCCUUCGGGUUGUAAACCGCUUUCGCCUGUGACGAAGCGUGAGUGACGGUAAUGGGUAAAGAAGCACCGGCUAACUACGUG